rnacentral:lncRNA from 1 species
AUGCUUACCCUUGAACCUCUUCUCCUUUGGAAAACAAACAAACAAAAAAAUGAAAACAAUGUGAAGCAGAGGUUAAUGACCAGCAUCUCUGUCAGAGACCUGAGAACUUCUGAUGAAGGACUCCUACAACUGUUCAAUUUUCAAGUCAGUGCAUUAAGCGAGCUGAUCUCAUUUAUGUAAUAGACUAAAGAGAAAAACUGAAUACAUCACAUCAGGGACUGUGUAUCCGUGACUGAACUGCUUCCCUUUGCCUCCUCCAGCUACUGCCUGCUGUGUCAGCAGUCCAGCUGCUGUGAUGUUUUCCACUCUGUCUCAAAGGCAGGCAGUGCUAAGCCCUGCCCAGAUGCUCAAGCAUGAAGUCUGCUAGAUUCAACUGCACAGUACUUGUAGCGGGAGGGGCAGGUCUUGAGAAUGAAAAUCAAGACAAAAACAGGCUCACCUCAGAUACUGAGAGUACUUGGAGAAGAUCCCAAUUUCCAUUUAUAGGGCACUUCUGUUUUGUAUAGUUCUGGAGUGCAAUGUGUAAUAAUAAGAGAUGAUUAUGCUGCACAAUAGCCUGAAUAUAGUCACUGAAGCAGAAUGAAAUUAAAAAAGGUUUCUUUUCACAAGGAAUGAUAUAAUGAUUUCUGUCAUGCUUACAGCCAUAAAUGAAAAUAGCAAUUCAUUACACACCAAAACUAAGCAAAUAGUUGAGGCUACAGGUAGUGCAUAAACAGUAAAACCAAAACCAAUAUAAGGACCCAGAGGCUGAUUGCAUUUUUGACUUUAUUUAUUACUUUUGAUCUAGACUAGAAUAGAUGAGACUAGAAAUAACCAUUCUCCUUCUCUGAACACCCUGCCAAUUAUUUCAGUCUACAAAACCAAAAUGCAAUAUGAACAGCUCAUGCUUGUAGCAAAUACCCAUUGGGAUGUUCCAGCCCCUCCUUUUCUACUAAUGCUUAAUUUAACUUCUUUCUUGUGCCCAAUGCUAGGUCACAUCUGUGAGUAUUGCAAGAACUGCUGAUACGUG